CCCGCACAAGCGGUGGAGCAUGUGGUUUAAUUCGAUGAUACGCGACGGAACCUUACCUGGGCUCAAAUGUAUGUGACGUAUUCUGAAAGGGAUACUUCUUCGGACAAUAUACAAGGUGCUGCAUGGUUGUCGUCAGCUCGUGCCGUGAGGUGUCGGGUUAAGUCCCAUAACGAGCGCAACCCCUAUCAUUAGUUGCCAGCAGUUCGGCUGGGCACUCUAAAGGGACUGCCGGUGUUAAACCGGAGGAAGGUGGGGAUGACGUCAAGUCCUCAUGGCCUUUAUGACCAGGGCUACACACGUACUACAAUGGCCGAUACAAAGGGCAGCGACACUGCGAGGUGAAGCCAAUCCCGUAAAAUCGGUCUCAGUCCGGAUUGGAGUCUGCAACUCGACUCCAUGAAGUUGGAAUCGCUAGUAAUCGUGGAUCAGCAUGCCACGGUGAAUACGUUCCCGGGCCUU
rnacentral:rRNA from 1 species